rnacentral:rRNA from 1 species
AUGUCUUUCCGCAGCAUAGUCCGCGAUGUUAGAGAGAGCUUCGGAAGCUUAUCAAGGCGGGGCUUUGACGUGAGGAUUUCAGGCCUCCCUGGUCUUUCCGGCCAUCAUCACCGGGGGAAGUCUUUUGGGCCACCGGUUGAGCCACACGGCGGGGCUGUGGUGGCUGAUCAGAAUGGCUGGGUUGGUCUUCCUCCUGAAUUACUUCGUGAUGUGAUGAAAAGGCUGGAGGAAGGCGAGAGCACUUGGCCCUCGCGCAAAGAUGUCGUCGCUUGUGCGGCUGUCUGCAGCGCGUGGAGAGAGAUCUGUAAAGAUAUAGUUCAGAGCCCGGAGUUCUGUGGGAAACUCACUUUUCCGGUGUCGCUUAAACAGCCAGGACCUCGAGAUGGAUUAAUCCAGUGCUUCAUUAGAAGGGACAAAUCAACACUAACCUAUUAUCUCUACCUCUGCCUUAGCCCUGCUGUGCUUAGUGAGAACGGAAAGUUCCUGCUAGCAGCUAAGAGGAAUCGACGGACAACAUAUACCGAAUACGUAAUUUCUGUGGAUUCUAAGAACAUCUCGCGGUCAAGCAACGGCUAUGUUGGAAAAAUGAGGUCGAAUUUCCUCGGCACGAAGUUCAUCGUCUACGACACUCAGCCACCAUACAAUGCCGGGAGCCUCAUCCCGUGCCAGCGUGGCAGCCGCCGCAUCUCUUCCAGGAGGGUCUCCCCAAAGGUGCCCACCGGUAGCUACCCCAUCGCCCAGGUGAAUUACGAGCUCAACGUGCUGGGCACCAGGGGCCCGAGGCGUAUGCAGUGCACGAUGCAUUCCAUCCCGGCCUCUGCAGUCGACCCGGAUGGCGUGGUGCCUGGGCAACCCCAGCAGCUGCUCCCUGGUCCGUUUGACGAGUCCUUCCGCAGCACGAACGCCUCCUCCAGGUUCUCCAUGGCAGACUUCAGCAGUUCUCGCUUCUCAAGCUCCCGAUUCUCAGAUGUAAGUGGUGGGUUGCGGCGAGAGGAGGAAGAUGGGGAUGCCAAGGAGAGGCCAUUGGUUCUACGCAACAAGGUGCCGAGAUGGCACGAGCAGCUGCAGUGCUGGUGCCUCAACUUCCGAGGCAGGGUGACGGUGGCCUCCGUGAAGAACUUCCAGCUGACGGCAGCCGCGCCACAGGUGGCCGCCGUGCCGCCGUCGGAACCUUCGCAGCCGCCCCAGCAGCAGCAGCUCCAGCCGUCAAGUUCAUUGUCGUCAUCGACGUCCGAUCACGAGAAGGUGAUCCUGCAGUUUGGUAAGGUUACCAAGGACAUGUUCACCAUGGACUACCGGUACCCGCUCUCGGCGUUCCAGGCGUUCGCCAUCUGCUUGACCAGCUUCGACACCAAACUGGCCUGUGAAUGA